UACGUAGGUGGCAAGCGUUGUCCGGAUUUACUGGGCGUAAAGAGCGCGCAGGCGGUCGUUCAAGUCGCGUGUGAAAGCCCCCGGCUCAACUGGGGAGGGUCACGCGAUACUGAUCGACUGGAAGGCAGGAGAGGGUAGUGGAAUUCCCGGUGUAGUGGUGAAAUGCGUAGAUAUCGGGAGGAACACCAGUGGCGAAGGCGACUACCUGGCCUGUUCUUGACGCUGAGGAGCGAAAGCAUGGGGAGCGAACAGG
rnacentral:rRNA from 1 species